AUAAAUUUAGUUUAGUGAUUCAAAACCCAAAUCUAAGAAUUCAGAAUCUGAAAUUCUGAAUCCCCGCCGCUGCACUUCAUCACUCUUCAAUCACCCACCCCACGCACCGGCCGCCGCAACCCUCACUAGUACCAGCGCAAUCCUCGGCUUCUCCUCCUCCCUGCAACUGCGGCGCUGCACCGCACCAGCCGCGCCACCUCCCCACCCCGGCUUCUCCUUCCCUGCUGACGCAGACCGACGACGAUAUUCUCGCAGCAGCAGACCGGCGUCAGGCUUCUCCUCCACCGCAGACCCACGACGCCAUUUUUAGAGAAGAUAAAUAGAAGAUGAUAUGAUUUUAGAUCUGUUUAGUUGGCCAGAAUUAGUGGCGAGCAUUAGCUGCAUAUUUGAUUUUUUUGCUCUGAUUUUCAAUUUCUUUUUGUUCCUUCUCAAGAAACAAAAACUGUGGUGAGAAUUAGUGGCUGAAUUACUUGGCUGAUUUAGUUGGCGGA
rnacentral:lncRNA from 1 species